UACGGAGGGUGCAAGCGUUAAUCGGAAUUACUGGGCGUAAAGCGCACGCAGGCGGUCUGUCAAGUCGGAUGUGAAAUCCCCGGGCUCAACCUGGGAACUGCAUUCGAAACUGGCAGGCUUGAGUCUUGUAGAGGGGGGGAGAAUUCCAGGUGUAGCGGUGAAAUGCGUAGAGAUCUGGAGGAAUACCGGUGGCGAAGGCGGCCCCCUGGACAAAGACUGACGCUCAGGUGCGAAAGCGUGGGGAGCAAACAGG
rnacentral:rRNA from 1 species